UUACGGCCACAUCACGUUGAAACAUCGGUUCCCGAACGAUCACCGAAGUUAAGCAACGUCGAGUCUGGUCUGUAUCUUGAUGGGCAACCGCUUGGGAAACCU